UACAGAGGGGGCAAGCGUUGUUCGGAAUUACUGGGCGUAAAGGGCGCGUAGGCGGCCUGUUAAGUCGAACGUGAAAUCCCCGGGCUCAACCCGGAAACUGCCAUUGAUACUAUCUGUCUUGAAUAUCGUGGAGGUAAGCGGAAUAUGUCAUGUAGCGGUGAAAUGCUUAGAUAUGACAUAGAACACCAAUUGCGAAGGCAGCUUACUACCCGAAUAUUGACACUGAGGCACGAAAGCGUGGGGAUCAAACAGGA
rnacentral:rRNA from 1 species